CCCUUAGAUGUUCUGGGCCGCACGCGCGCUACACUGAUGCAAGCAGCAAGUUUCUACCCAAUCCGAAAGGACAAGGUAAUCUUAUAAACUGCAUCGUGAUGGGGCUUGACGAUUGUAAUUUUUCGUCACAAACGAGGAAUUCCUAGUAAGUACAAGUCAUCAACUUGUGCUGAUUACGUCCCUGCCCUUUGUACACACCGCCCGUCGCUCCUACCGAUUGAAUGUUCCGGUGAACACUUUGGAAUCGAGGCAUCGUUUGAGGCAACUUGGACUUUUCCACCGGUGAAGCCGUGUAAACCUUAACAUUUAGAGGAAGGAGAAGUCGUAACA
rnacentral:rRNA from 1 species